rnacentral:misc_RNA from 1 species
CUUCCGAUUGCAAAUGCAUUAAUUAUGACUCUAGUAUUGGUAGGUAUGUCAUAGCCACUAAUCUGGCAAGCCUCACUUGACUGCCUUGGCAUUAACAGAGGAGAUGGAGGAUGCAGCCUCAGGGUUUCUUUCACUACUGCUUUUAAGUAUUGCAAUUCAUGAAGAUUUGAUUCGUCUACCCUUCCUUUUUCACCAUAAACUCGACGUACCUCAACUUGUGCCUCUUUCAUUGACUCUGGAAAUCUCAGCAUUUCAGUCAUUGCCCACUCCAUAGUUGAGGAUGAUGUCUCAGCCCCAGCAGUGACCAAGUCCCAGAGAAUAGCUUUGAUGGCGUCAUCAGUCAAUGGAAAUUCCAGGUCCCCUUGCUCUCGGAGCUUCAAAAGAAGAUCAAUUUGGUCUUCCUCAUCAUCCUCUGCUACUUGUUCACCAUCUUUCAUCCUUUUCUCCCUCCUAUCUUUGUGCUCAUCAAGGAUUUUCUGAACUAUCUUAUCUUUCUCUCGAUGCAAUUUCUCAAGCUUGGGCCUGGCCCCUGAAAUCCAUUCAAGAACUUUAAAAGAAGGGAAUAGAUUGACAAGGGUAAAACCUGUGUUGUGCUUUAUAAUCCUGUAGGCAGCGGAUAUGUAUUCUUCUUUGUGUUUACAGUGUUUCCCAAAAGCUGCACUCAUGGCUAUCCAAGAAGUCAUUGAAAACAGUUUCUUACUAAGAUCGAUUGGCGAUCCUCGACAUGAAGAUAUUUCCUUGACGAGAUUAGUCACCUCCUCUUCCCUCAUGGAUCGGAAUGAGUCAACUCGACUUUGACUUAAAAGCUCCAACUUGCAGAUUCUCCUCAGCUGUCUCCAAUAGGUGCCAUAUGGUGCAAAACCAAUGUCCAAGAAAUUAUAAGACAGGAUCUGGGAAGCUAGAGUUUUGGGUCUUUGAGCAAAGAUUACAUCAUGGGUUGUCAAGACUUCUUUAGCACAUUCCGCUGAGGAAAUUACGGUGGUCCUAAGCUCGCCAAGCAGCAGGUGAAUUAUGGGUCCAUGUUUCUCAGCCAGUUCUUUUAGGGAGCGAUGGGGCGCCCCCUUGAGCUGGUGCAGGUUUCCGAUGAUGGGAAGUUUCCUCGGCCCAGGCGGUAGCUUUGCUGAUGAGAAAGCGCUUAGUAAUUUGAGUACCGUGUACAGGAAGAGAAGAAAGGCAAAGAAAAGGAUCAAAAAAGAAGGGAAUUGAAGCUCCAUGUGAGAUUCAAGCACAGAUGAACCUAUUUCAAAAAAACACAAAGUAGAGAUGAACCAGAAAAAUAUAUCUUU